UGCUCAGGCCUCUCACCCACAGCUGCCCUUGGACUCCCAGCAGAAAUAAGAAACACCAUCCCGCCAACCAGAUAAGGGGCCCUGGGCUGAAAGAAGGCAAAAUCCGACUGGGCCUGAAGCCACGGUGGAGGAGCCCCUGACGGUGACAAUGGCCGGAUGUGAAGGUGGAGUUAACACCUUUGAGCAACAGAUUUUCCUUAGCAGAGCUGUGGAGUGUGACAAUGGUGUUUGUGUCCAAACUAUCAAACGCCAUUAUCACACUAAAUAGCUACUGCUAGGCAAUGCAUCUACUCCCCAAGUGUCUCGGCACCUGUUCCCUCUGAGCAAGAAGCUGUGUCUUAUACUAGCACUGUCUACUGUGUGUAAUUUCUGAAUAAAAUCUGGUAUUCUCGCACUCAUAA